rnacentral:tRNA from 1 species
GCUAGUGUUGUGUAGCGGUUUGAAUGCUGGACUACAAAUCUGGAGACCAGUGUUCAAUUCCCAGCUCUGCCA